UGGGGAAUCUUCCGCAAUGGACGAAAGUCUGACGGAGCAACGCCGCGUGAGUGAAGACGGCCUUCGGGUUGUAAAGCUCUGUGAUCCGGGACGAAAGAGCCUGAGGUGAAUAGCCUAAGGAAGUGACGGUACCGGAAAAGCAAGCCACGGUUAACUACGUGCCAGCAGCCGCGGUAAUACGUAGGUGGCAAGCGUUGUCCGGAAUUAUUGGGCGUAAAGCGCGCGCAGGCGGCUUCCUAAGUCCAUCUUAAAAGUGCGGGGCUUAACCCCGUGAUGGGAUGGAAACUGGGAAGCUAGAGUAUCGGAGAGGAAAGUGGAAUUCCUAGUGUAGCGGUGAAAUGCGUAGAGAUUAGGAAGAACACCGGUGGCGAAGGCGACUUUCUGGACGAAAACUGACGCUGAGGCGCGAAAGCGUGGGGAGCAAACAGG
rnacentral:rRNA from 1 species